AGGGCAUGCAGAGCUGCUAUCCACCAUCCAUGACGGGAGCACUGGGCCACCCCAGGGGACUAGGAAUGAUGGGAACAUUUCCCUCGCUCUUUUGGAAACUUUGUGCUAUGAAAUAAUUCUUCAUUUAUUUACUGAAGCAUCACAGGAGGUAUACUGGCUGCCAAGGACUUAGGUCUCAAUUGUUAAGGAUGAUAGAGAUUGCAGAUAUAUGUUUUAUGAGGAAGAUCACUGAGUGCAAGCCCCAGCAAAGAUAUCCAUUUUAGAUGAAUCAACUCCACCUCAGCAGCAAUGAAUUCUCUGUUUAUCAGCCGUAUAUACUACAAAGAGAAUUUAGCAAAGAACAGGAGCAGUCACAGGACUAUUCCAUCAUUUAAAUGCCCUGACCAGAUGACCAGGCUAUGAGCCACUGCCCAGGAAUCAAAACAUAUUCUUAGGCUACAUCUUCUUUCACACAAAGUUGAUGACCUCUGCCCCAGUCAUAGCUUUGCCCUGUCAGCAACAAUCCACACUUGAAAAUUGGCCCCUAAAGCAUAUCACAGCAGCUGAUUCAUGAAUCGUUGAAGGUUUUGUAUUCCUCCCUCUGGAACCUAUGUUUAGGCCUCUAGUACACUGGAAUCUUUUUGCUCAUCCUGUCCAACCAACAUGGCAUCAUCAAUGCAAUGGAGCCGAAUGAUAUUCUAUGGGAUGUUCAGGCAGUCCACAUCUCUUCAGGGUAUGUUAAGACAGGGAGGGAAAGUUUACGUAGAUCUGCCAUAAAACCAUUAAUGAAUAUUCUUGUCUAUCCUACUUGAAUGCAUACUGUUUUUGAUUCUCUUUCAGAUUACAAUGGAAUAGAAUACAAUUGCUAUGUCAGUGGCCACAUGCCAUGUACUUCUGUGGUUUUUGUCCUUCAUUCAGGGGUUCAUAAUAUCAAAGAUAAAAAAAAAUCACAAUGACACAAAACCAUUAUGCACCCUAUAUUAACAGUUCAGUUAAUCUGUAAUUUGGAUUAUCUCUAGUCAUCCAGAAAAACUGAAGUAAGUAAGAACCCACUAGAAAGUUUAUAUUUUAAAAAUUAGCCUUACUUAAUCUGAGAAACGUUCUGUCAUUUUAAUUCUACACUCAAAAGUCUGUGUCAAUGCAUGUUACAUAAAACUUAAAGUUUGCAUUGAAAUAUUUUCAUUUGCAAACAGGAGACAGGAUUUGUCCCAUUUAAAAUCCAUUUUCAACUACAUGUCCUACCAUAUCCUGCCAACACUAUAACAACCUGCCCACAUAGUUUAAUUUUUUUUUUUUUUUUUAAAUGAAUGCCGAAGAAUCAAUGAGCCCAUCUGGCAUGUAUGAAAAAAAAAAAAAGAGGAAUAGAUGCCUCAGUAAGAGAUACAGAAUGAACAAGCACAUAUUUAGUUAGGAAGUUGGGUAUCUCAGAAAAUAUGUAGAGAACUGACUUUCACAAAUUAAUAUAAUCUCAUUUUAAUUACCUGAAAUUCAAAGGAAAUCAUCUCUGUGAAGAUACUAUAUUCACUAUAUUCUCAGUCUUAAGAGGAUGUCAUUUUGUUCUACAUCUGGAUACAAUAUAUCUGUUAUUGUGUAAGGAUAAUGACUCUGUCUCCCCAAAAGGCAUGUAAACAAUGGGUGAGGUAUAUAUCAGUAAUGUGAUUUGGUUGUUUCAAUAAUAUGCCAUGGAAGACUUAUGACCACAAAGAACCUAGGAAUAAUGUUAAAUACUGGUAAUUAGUGUCACAGAGAAAAUGAGGUCUGGGUGUUGUAUAUUAAAUAUCUGUAUGAUGUUUUCUACGAUGCAUAUAAACCCUCAUUGGUUAUUGAUUUCAUUGGCUUACAUUUCAAGGUCACUGCCAGGAAGGCCACUUUUCUCCCCUGCAAUUUGUAAGUAUGGAGAUUUAUUGUACAUUUAAAACAUGUUUAUUUUUACCAAUACAGAAGGAAAUGGAAUGAGUUACAGUACAGUAAUGUGAGGUCUGAAAGUAUAAAAUUUUAAGCAAAAAUCUCAAUUUUUCUAGUUCCUAUAAACAUGGUAUGCUAACAGCAGUGUUGAUUGUGCUUCUUUAGCAAUUAUAACUGAAUCUUACCAAUGGUUUCUGUCCUUUAAAAUACUCUACAUCUGUAACAACAAAAUAUUCAAAGGUGGAGAAAAAGUUCACUCCAUAGGAUUAUACAGUAUCAUAAAAUAUCCUUUGGUGGCUUAUAUUAGGAUUGAGGUAUAUUGAUCAAUCAUUAGACAGACAAAUAUAAACAAGGAUAUUUUGUUUUAAAAAUUACAUUUUUAGAGUAAAAUUCUCUCUGGACUAAAACUUGCUACCAGGCUUUCAUUCCGGAUGGGAAAUGAAUUUUUAAAGUAUAUAUAAAAUAAAAAAUUCAUUGGAAAAGAAUGGAAAAUGAAAGAUGUUUGUAAUUUUAGGCUGCUUUCUUCUAAUUCCUUUUGAAGGUGAUUCAAAAAUCUUAUUACUUUGGUUCUUAAAUCAGAAUGUGGUUUCUCUGCAGGCAAAUUUGAAUGGUUAUUAAAGGCAACUAUUCAGGUAAUGAAGAUAAAUAAACUUUUUCCAAAUUAAAGUGGUUUCAUUGGUUCAAAUUAUCCAGGGUGGAUACAUCAAUUAAUUGAAUUAGUCAGAAAAUUGCUCAACGUUUCAUUUUGCAUGUGCAGACACAACUUGAAUAAGAUAGUAAGGAUAUUUAAAUGGAAUGACAUGCAAACAUUUGUGCCUGUUCAAAGGAAACAUGUCUGGGGGGUGAUACAGGACAAUAAUAUUUUAAUGAAUGAGUAAGUCAAGUGAAAAUGAACUAGUAUAUGUGUCUGUGAUUUUAAUCCAUCUUGCAAUUAUAACUGAAUCCUAUUGAUGGUUUCACUUUUCUUUCACCAACAAUAUAAUAAUGUGAAUUCAUCCAAGUUGGUAUCAAAUGAAUAUUUUCAACAUUUCAGAAAACUGCAGGAUAAACAGGCUCCAGGUAAUAGAGCUUUUCUCUAAAUAUAAAUUUAAAAUUCAUGCUUUCUUGAUUCUCAAAGCAUUUUUACAUACCAACAUUUUAAGAAAAAAGACUCAGUUAUCUUUACAGAUCAACUCAGGCUUCAGACACAGCAUUGCCCACUUUUUUAAAACCAUUUACGUAUACCAGGGAGAAAAGUGGAACAGUUCUACAUUUGAGACCCAACUCUGUUACUUGCUGGUAUGUUAAAUUAAGUAAGACCUCAUUUAAUUUAUUUGUAAAGAUUAAAUGAGAUUAUGUAUGGAAAAGUAGUUUUAAACAAUAACAUUUUUAAAAUGUUUACUACUGUUUGGAUAACAAUACCAAACAGAAAAAAUCUCAUUUGGAAACAGUAAUUGUUCAAGAAAUGUUAAAAACUACAGACUCAGACUCCUGAAGACGAUUAUAUAGUAAUGUAGAUUACAAGGGGUGACAGUGUGGUUGUGAAAACCUUGUAGAUCACACUCCCUUUAUCUAGUAUAUGGA